rnacentral:rRNA from 1 species
GUAAGGAAUAUUGGUCAAUGGAGGCAACUCUGAACCAGCCAUGCCGCGUGCAGGAAGACGGCCCUCUGGGUUGUAAACUGCUUUUAUCCGGGAAUAAACCUGCCUUCGUGAAGGUAGCUGAAUGUACCGGAAGAAUAAGGAUCGGCUAACUCCGUGCCAGCAGCCGCGGUAAUACGGAGGAUCCAAGCGUUAUCCGGAUUUAUUGGGUUUAAAGGGUGCGUAGGCGGCCUGUUAAGUCAGGGGUGAAAGACGGUGGCUCAACCAUCGCAGUGCCCUUGAUACGGAUGGGCUUGAAUGGACUAGAGGUAGGCGGAAUGUGACAAGUAGCGGUGAAAUGCAUAGAUAUGUCACAGAACACCGAUUGCGAAGGCAGCUUACUAUGGUCCUAUUGACGCUGAGGCACGAAAGCGUGGGGAUCGAACAGGAUUAGAAACCCUUGUAGUCC